CCGACGGUGAGGGGUGAAAGCUGGGGGAGCAAACCGGAUUAGAUACCCGGGUAGUCCCAGCUGUAAACGAUGCGCGUUAGGUGUGUCAGUGACCACGUGUCACUGAUGUGCCGAAGGGAAACCGUGAAACGCGCCGCCUGGGGAGUACGGUUGCAAGGCUGAAACUUAAAGGAAUUGGCGUGGGAGCACCACAACGGGUGGAGCCUGCGGUUUAAUCGGACUCAACGCCGGAAAUCUCACCGGAUAA
rnacentral:rRNA from 1 species